rnacentral:rRNA from 1 species
AGACCCGAAACCCGGUGAUCUAGCCAUGGGCAGGUUGAAGGUUGGGUAACACUAACUGGAGGACCGAACCGACUAAUGUUGAAAAAUUAGCGGAUGACCUGUGGCUGGGGGUGAAAGGCCAAUCAAACCGGGAGAUAGCUGGUUCUCCCCGAAAGCUAUUUAGGUAGCGCCUCGUGAAUUCAUCUCCGGGGGUAGAGCACUGUUUCGGCUAGGGGGCCAUCCCGGCUUACCAACCCGAUGCAAACUGCGAAUACCGGAGAAUGUUAUCACGGGAGACACACGGCGGGUGCUAACGUCCGUCGUGAAGAGGGAAACAACCCAGACCGCCAGCUAAGGUCCCAAAGUCAUGGUUAAGUGGGAAACGAUGUGGGAAGGCCCAGACAGCCAGGAUGUUGGCUUAGAAGCAGCCAUCAUUUAAAGAAAGCGUAAUAGCUCACUGGUCGAGUCGGCCUGCGCGGAAGAUGUAACGGGGCUAAACCAUGCACCGAAGCUGCGGCAGCGAACGUAUCACCCAAGACAACUUUGCGGAGUUGACGAUUGACGGAGCGAAGCGACGUCAAAGCGUUCAUUAAAGUCGAGUUGGCUUAGGGAUAC